rnacentral:rRNA from 1 species
AGGGUUUGAUCCUGGCUCAGGAUGAACGCUAGCGGCAGGCCUAACACAUGCAAGUCGAGGGGUAACAGAAGAAAGCUUGCUUUCUUGCUGACGACCGGCGCACGGGUGCGUAACGCGUAUACAAUUUGCCCUUUACAGGAGGAUAGCCCUAAGAAAUUGGGAUUAAUACUCCAUAAUAUUAUGAAUUCGCAUGUUUUCAUAAUUAAAGCUCCGGCGGUAAAGGAUGAGUAUGCGUCCUAUUAGAUAGUUGGUAAGGUAACGGCUUACCAAGUCAGCGAUAGGUAGGGGGUCUGAGAGGAUGAUCCCCCACACUGGUACUGAGACACGGACCAGACUCCUACGGGAGGCAGCAGUGAGGAAUAUUGGUCAAUGGAGGCAACUCUGAACCAGCCAUGCCGCGUGAAGGAAGACGGCCCUACGGGUUGUAAACUUCUUUUAUACACCAAGAAACGCAGGUACGUGUACCUGUUUGACGGUAGUGUAUGAAUAAGCACCGGCUAACUCCGUGCCAGCAGCCGCGGUAAUACGGAGGGUGCGAGCGUUAUCCGGAAUUAUUGGGUUUAAAGGGUACGCAGGCGGCUUAUUAAGUCAGUGGUGAAAUCCCGUCGCUCAACGACGGAACUGCCAUUGAUACUGAUAAGCUUGAAUAUAGUUGAAGUGGGCGGAAUGUGUAGUGUAGCGGUGAAAUGCUUAGAUAUUACACAGAACACCGAUAGCGAAGGCAGCUCACUAAACUAUUAUUGACGCUCAUGUACGAAAGCGUGGGGAGCGAACA